UACGUAGGGGGCAAGCGUUGUCCGGAUUUACUGGGCGUAAAGGGCGCGUAGGCGGCCAGCACAAGUCAGUUGUGAAAUCUCCGAGCUUAACUCGGAAAGGUCAACUGAUACUGUGCGGCUAGAGUGCGGAAGGGGGCAACUGGAAUUCUUGGUGUAGCGGUGAAAUGCGUAGAUAUCAAGAGGAACACCUGCGGCGAAGGCGGGUUGCUGGGCCGACACUGACGCUGAGGCGCGAAAGCCAGGGGAGCGAACGGG
rnacentral:rRNA from 1 species